rnacentral:lncRNA from 1 species
GAUCAGUGAGCACUCUGGUUUCUCCUAGUCUACUGGUGAGAGCUUGAACUGGAAGGGGUAGACUGGAGAAGAUCAUGAAUGCCACAAGCUAAUGAUAUUGUUGGGCAGUGUGGAACAAAGGUAACAAGCUACAAAAUGUGCUCAUUACGGAUCUGUCAGCUACAAAAGGGAGGAGACUCCUUCUGUUUCAGCAGGUAUGAAUUUCACUAGCUGCUUUCAUCUCCAGAGAGUUCACUGCUGCUCUAUUUAAUAAAACCCAACACUUCAGUUAUCACAGUCAUUAGGAGGAAGCAGGGUUGGAAGAAGGUAAGCCUUCAUUUAUUUUAGUGUCAUAUAUAAUUGUACUGUUUAUUUCCCCUAUGGGCUUUAUACUUUCCUGCUAUCUUUUUGUUUUGUUUUGUUUUUGUACUUUCAGAAUAUUUCUGUAAGGGAAACCCCUCGUGGAAAACGAAGACUAAGCAGCAACAAAAUAAAAAAUAAAACAAAUCCCCCCCUCACCCCCCCAAGAUCAGAUCCUUCAGAAACCAAAGGACUAGAACCGUAGUUCUAGUACCAGGCAAUUAGCACAAGUAAG